rnacentral:piRNA from 1 species
UGAAUUGGAGAUAUGCAAAUAAGCCUUAC